rnacentral:rRNA from 1 species
UACGGGGGGGGCAAGCGUUGUUCGGAAUCACUGGGCGUAAAGCGCACGCAGGCGGAUCGUUAAGUCAGGGGUGAAAUGCCGAGGCUCAACCUCGGAACUGCCUUUGAUACUGGCGAUCUUAGAGUCCGGGAGAGGUGAGUGGAACUCCGAGUGUAGAGGUGAAAUUCGUAGAUAUUCGGAAGAACACCAGUGGCGAAGGCGGCUCACUGGCCCGGUACUGACGCUCAGGUGCGAAAGCGUGGGGAGCAAACAGG